rnacentral:rRNA from 1 species
GACGAACGCUGGCGGCGUGCCUUAGACAUGCAAGUCGAACGGAGUAGCAAUACUCAGUGGCGAACGGCGGAGUAAUGCAUAAGCAACGUGCCCCAAAGACUGGGAUAGUCGAGGGAAACCACGGGUAAUACCAGAUGUGGUCCUUAGAUGGCAUCAUCGAGGGAUUAAAUCGAGCAAUCGGCUUUGGGAGCGGCUUAUGUCCUAUCAGCUUGUUGGUGAGGUAACGGCUCACCAAGGCUACGACGGGUAGGGGGUCUGAGAGGAUGAUCCCCCCGAGUGGGACUGCGACACGGCCCACACACCUACGGGUGGCAGCAGUUUGGAAUAUUGCACAAUGGGGGAAACCCUGCAUGCAGCGACGCCGCGUGGAGGACGAAGGAUCUAGGUCUGUAAACUCCUUUUGCCAGGAAAGACUUAGGACGGUACCUGGCGAAUAAGCCCCGGCUAACUACGUGCCAGCAGCCGCGGUAAGACGUAGGGGGCGAGCGUUGUCCGGAUUUACUGGGCGUAAAGAGCGCGUAGGCGGCUAGUUAAGUGAGAAGUGAAAUCUCCAGGGCUCAACCCGGAAACUGCUUUUCAUACUGGCCAGCUGGAGGGACGCAGGGGUGACUGGAAUUCCCGGUGUAGCGGUGAAAUGCAUUGAUAUCGGGAGGAACUCCAACAGCGAAGGCAGGUCACUGGGCGUUUCCUGACGCUGAGGCGCGAAAGCGUGGGUAGCAAACAGGAUUAGAUACCCUGGUAGUCCACGCCCUAAACGAUGGAUACUAGACGUAAGAGGUAUCGACCCCUCUUGUGUCGCAGCUAACGCAUUAAGUAUCCCGCCUGGGGAGUACGGCCGCAAGGUUGAAACUCAAAUGAAUUGACGGGGACCCGCACAAGCGGUGGAGCAUGUGGAUUAAUUCGAUACUAACCGAAGAACCUUACCCAGGUUUGACAUCGAUGGUAAGCCCGAGAGAUCGGGCCCUCUCUCACAAGGAGACCUGAAGACAGAUGUUGCAUGGCUGUCGUCAGCUCGUGCCGUGAGGUGUACGGUUAAGUCCGCCAACGAGCGCAACCCUCGUCCUAUGUUGCCAGCGAGUAAUGUCGGGAACUCAUAGGAGACCGCCGGUGUAAGCCGGAGGAAGGUGGGGAUGAUGUCAAGUCAGCAUGGCUCUUACGCCUGGGGCUUCACACAUGCUACAAUGGGCGCAACAAAGGGCACCGAAGCCGUGAGGUGGAGGCAAUCCCAAAAAUACGCCCCCAGUUCAGAUUGCAGUCUGCAACUCGACUGCAUGAAGGCGGAAUCGCUAGUAAACGCAGGUCAGCUAUACUGCGUUGAAUACGUUCCCGGGUCUUGUACACACCGCCCGUCAAGUCACCUGAAUUGUCUUCACCCGAAGUCCGUGGCCUAACCGUAAGGAGGGAGCGGCCGAAGGUGAGG